AACAAAAACAUGUCCUUUAGAUAAUAAUUUAAGGUCUAACCUGCCCAAUGAUUAAUUAAAUGGCCGCAGUAUUUUGACUGUGCAAAGGUAGCAUAAUCAUUAGUUUUUUAAUUGAAAGCUUGUAUGAAUGGUUGAACGAGAAAAAAUCUGUCUUUAUUUAUAAAUUUGAAUUUAAUUUUUUAGUUAAAAAGCUAAAAUUAAAUUAAAAGACGAGAAGACCCUAUAGAUCUUUAUAAUAAUUUAAAUAAAUUUUAUUUGGAUUUAUAAAUUUUUUUAUUUAUUUUAUUAUUUUAUUGGGGUAAUAAAAAGAUUAAAUUAAUUCUUUUUUAUUUUUUAUAUAUAAUAAUAUUUUUAAGAUCCAUUAAUAAUGAAAAAUGAUUAAGUUACCUUAGGGAUAACAGCGUAAUUUUUUUAGAGAGUUCAUAUCGAUAAAAAAGUUUGCGACCUCGAUGUUG
rnacentral:rRNA from 1 species